UGGGGAAUAUUGCACAAUGGGCGAAAGCCUGAUGCAGCGACGCCGCGUGAGUGAUGAAGGCCUUCGGGCUGUAAAGCUCUGUCUUUUGGGACGAUAAUGACGGUACCAAAGGAGGAAGCCACGGCUAACUACGUGCCAGCAGCCGCGGUAAUACGUAGGUGGCAAGCGUUGUCCGGAUUUACUGGGCGUAAAGGAUGCGUAGGCGGAUUUUUAAGUGAGAUGUGAAAUACCCGGGCUUAACUUGGGUGCUGCAUUUCAAACUGGGAAUCUAGAGUGCGGGAGAGGAGAAUGGAAUUCCUAGUGUAGCGGUGAAAUGCGUAGAGAUUAGGAAGAACACCAGUGGCGAAGGCGAUUCUCUGGACCGUAACUGACGCUGAGGCAUGAAAGCGUGGGUAGCAAACAGGAUUAGAUACCCUGGUAGUCCACGCCGUAAACGAUGAGUACUAGGUGUAGGAGGUAUCGACCCCUUCUGUGCCGCAGUUAACACAAUAAGUACUCCGCCUGGGAAGUACGAUCGCAAGAUUAAAA
rnacentral:rRNA from 1 species